GCUGUCUUGUCCGAGUGGUUAAGGAGAUCGACUAGAAAUCGAUUGGAGUCUCUCCGCGUAGGUUCGAAUCCUGCAGACAGCG